rnacentral:lncRNA from 1 species
UCCGAUCUGUUUAGACAUGUUUAGACCCGUUUAACCUGUUUAGACCUAUUUAACCUGUUUAACCCGUUUAACCUGUUUAACCUGUUUAGACCUGUUUAACCUGCCCAACAGUUAAACGGGUUAAACGGUUUAAACGGCUCAGACAUCUAAAACCCGUAUCCGACCCAAUUAAUAAACAGGUUAAACGGGUCGACCUGUUUACGACCCGAACCUGUUUAGGCCAAACCCAAACCUGUUUAUGGCGGGUCGAACACGGGUCGGGUUGGCGGGUCGGGUCAUAUUUUGCCACCCCUAUUUACAGUGAACUUGUGGUCAUGUUUUCUUUUGUGCCCAAGUAGAGGAGAAGGUAACAUAAUUCUGAUUUUUUUUUUUUUGCUAAAGCGAACGUAUCCUAUACGACGGGUACGGAUACACUCAACAAAGUCAAAAGAUAACACAUUCCGGAGUGCUCCUGGUAAGUUCUCAUCCCCUAGCCAAAGAGUCUCCCCAGAAUGGUUAGUCACAUAAGAGGUUACCUAAUCUGUUGCCCCGUUGGCCUCACGAUACACAUGCUUAGCCUGGACGGCCAUCUGCCCACGCACCAUAGCCCGAAUAUCCUUGAACAACGGGUGGCUAUCGCCCACACCCCUCGCGCUCCAGUACUACAACACAUAUAGGCAAAAAUCAUCAGAUAUAACUCAAGCCAUACCGGGCUACCCUCAACUCCGCCUGCGGAACCGAGAUGUCGAAGAUCUGGUAGCCUCCAGCUGCAAUCAUUUUGGAGUCCGGCCUUCUGAUGAUGAAGCCCACCCCUCCCCAACUUCCGCCAUCCAGUACACAUCCGUCAAAAUUUAUC